rnacentral:rRNA from 1 species
CGCGGAUCAGCAUGCCGCGGUGAAUACGUUCCCGGGCCUUGUACACACCGCCCGUCACACCAUGGGAGUCGGUAACACCCGAAGCCUGUAGUCUAACCGCAAGGGGGACGCAGUCGAAGGUGGGAUUGAUNACUGGGGUGAAGUCGUAACAAGGUACC